UACAUGGGGUGCAAACGUUGCUCGGAAUUAUUGGGCGUAAAGAGCUCGUAGGCGGCUUGUCGCGUCGGUUGUGAAAGCCCGGGGCUUAACCCCGGGUCUGCAGUCGAUACGGGCAGGCUAGAGUUCGGUAGGGGAGAUCGGAAUUCCUGGUGUAGCGGUGAAAUGCGCAGAUAUCAGGAGGAACACCGGUGGCGAAGGCGGAUCUCUGGGCCGAUACUGACGCUGAGGAGCGAAAGCGUGGGGAGCGAACAGG
rnacentral:rRNA from 1 species